GUCGUUCACUCCCACUGCACAGUACACCCUAGACUAGAGUAGGUAUAUAUACCAAUAUUCUCACGCACUUCUCCUCGAUUUCUUCACCUUCUCUGCGUGUUUCUGCUUCUCUUGUGCAAAAUCUGCGAUAUGGCGUUCCGGAGGAUCAUUUUGGGCCAAGUUGGUCGUGUCGGAGAGCGAUCGAUGUCGUCGUGGUGGCGAAAUGUCCAGCCAGCUGCUAAGGAUCCGAUUCUCGGAGUAACCGAAGCUUUCCUCGCUGAUCCGAGUCCGGAUAAAGUGAACGUCGGAGUUGGAGCUUAUCGCGACGAUAAUGGAAAGCCGGUGGUGUUGGAGUGCGUGCGGGAGGCAGAACGGAGAAUUGCGGGUAAUCUCAGCAUGGAGUAUCUUCCAAUGGGAGGAAGUGCAAAAAUGGUCGAGGAAACACUAAGAUUGGCUUACGGGGAGAAUUCUGACUUGAUUAAGGAUAAGAGAAUUGCAGCAAUACAAUCUCUAUCUGGGACUGGUGCAUGCCGAAUUUUUGCAGAGUUUCAAAGGCGUUUUUGUCCAGAUUCACAAAUUUACAUUCCGGUCCCUACCUGGGCCAAUCAUCAUAACAUCUGGAGAGACGCCCAUGUCCCUCAAAGAACUUUCCACUAUUAUCAUCCAGAGUCAAGGGGAUUGGACUUUGCUUCAAUGAUGGAUGACAUAAAGAGUGCUCCAAAUGGAUCAUUUUUCCUGCUUCAUGCUUGUGCUCAUAAUCCUACCGGAGUGGAUCCUUCGGAAGAACAAUGGAGGGAGAUUUCAUACCAGUUCAAGGUCAAAGGACAUUUUCCCUUCUUUGACAUGGCAUAUCAAGGUUUUGCGAGUGGUGAUCCAGAGAGGGAUGCUAAGUCUAUCAGGAUCUUUCUUGAGGAUGGUCAUCUAAUUGGAUGUGCGCAAUCAUAUGCAAAAAAUAUGGGACUUUAUGGCCAGAGAGUUGGCUGCCUGAGCGUGGUUUGUGAGGAUGAAAAGCCAAAAGCCAGUUGCACAGCUUGCCAGACCCAUGGUAAGUAAUCCACCUACUCAUGGUGCCCUGAUUGUUUCUACCGUUCUUGGUGAUCCAAACUUGAAGAAGUUGUGGCUUAAGGAAGUAAAGGGCAUGGCUGAUCGUAUCAUUGGAGCGAGAAUAGCAUUGAGACAAAAUCUCGAAAAGUUGGGGUCAUCUCUUUCCUGGAAGCACAUAACGAACCAGAUUGGCAUGUUCUGCUAUAGUGGGUUGACACCUGAACAAGUUGACCGCUUAACUAAUGAAUUCCAUAUUUACAUGACUCGUAAUGGUCGUAUCAGCAUGGCGGGAGUUACCACAGGAAACGUUGGUUACCUGGCUAAUGCAAUUCAUGAGGUGUCCAAGUCUGCUUAGGAACUUGAUACUGACGCAUGUUUCAGCAAUAAUCCAAACGGAGGCUUUGGAAGGUUACAGGUUCUUUGUACAAUUCAAGAGAUUUUGGCUUUUAGGAAUUUUUUGAGAUUUUCUUCCAACUUUGUGAUCCUAACACUAGGAUGGACAGACAAGUGAGAAGUCCUCCUUGAAGAGUUGAAGGAAAGCACUGAGGACAUAAGCAACAGAUAUUUGAUUUUGAAUAAAUGCCGGUGCAUGUAUUCAUUUUAUACCCCCCCAAUUCUGGAACUUUUGGCAGCUAGGAAUCAUUUGACUGUUGUAAUUCAGAGGUCGGAUCGAAGGUUAUGAACUGUAAUUUUUCCAUUCAUAAUCAAAGAUGUCACCUUCUCAAAACUCAGCAACUGAAAUUGGAUGGUGACUGCCAUUUAUUGUGUUUAGCAGGGUAGGGUGAUCUCACCCCCUUUCUUUUUUCA